rnacentral:tRNA from 1 species
GUGGAUAUAGCUUAAUGGUAAAGCGACUGCUUGAAAACCAGCCCCAAAUAUUAAGCUAGGAAAAUUGGUUCAAUUCCCGUUAUCCACA